UUGCCCCCCAGGGCACUUCUCCACUGGCAAAGGACGGACGCUGUCAAAUCUGGCAGAGCAGAGGUCGUGAGUUCGAAACAUGGGGCUCUUGGAAGGCAAGGAUUUAUUCUUGGAAGGCAAGGGAACAUUUGGAAGGCAAGGAUUUAUUCUUGGAAGGCAAGUGGGAACUUGGAAGGCAAGGUGCAACUUGGAUUGGCUUGCUUGGCACUUUGUCAGACCAGGUGGGGAGCGCUCGGACCCUGGCCAGUUGGAGGCACAUCCUGCGAUUAACCGGACUGUGUGAAGAGGGGCCGGAUCACAGACCCAAGGAUUAGUCUAGAAUAGGACACC
rnacentral:lncRNA from 1 species